GGUGGCAUGGCAACUUUUGAUUUGAAGAAAGUAUCUCUUUAAACUACAUCGAAAGGGGUACAAGUGAUUGAGACAUAGAUUAUUAUCAUCCAUCCACAACUAAUCCCUUGCCUCUUGGAUGUGAUUACAAUUCGUGAAUAAACAUUACGCCUAUUGAUCUACUACUACUGCUAGCUAGAAAAAAAGUACUAACAGAGGGAUAUCAAUGUCGAUAACAAGAGUCACGUUUAUGACUGAGCAACAAAAACGGAUGAAAGGAACAUACAACAGAAAUAUCGUUGAUAAGGAAGUACUAGGUGGAAUAUUUGUUGGGAUAUACUGUUAACCAUCCGCUUUAGACAUAAUAUUUUGUUUAAUUGUUUAUGGAACAAUUGUUUAUUUAAUUUAUUCAAUUCAAUAAAGUACCUUUUUAAAUA